UGCCCCUCUGUUUCUCUUCUCCAUCGGAUCAUCCCCACCGUAAUGCAGUAGCUCACAGUUCUUCCAUUCCAAUUGCCAAGCUUUUGUUUAUACUGUUCUUCUCCUCUUCUAAACGCCUCUGCUCGCUCAGCCUCUUUUCUAACUUGGUUGCUCGGGAUUUAAAUCGGCAUUCGAAUUAAUCAGAUCAUUCCUUAAAUUGAUCUAUACUGAUCUCGAUGACCCGUAAGCGCAACACAAUUGUUGCAACUGGUUUACUAGCUUUUGCUGCUGCUGGAUUGGCAUUUCCCUUUUACAUGGCGUCAUCUAGGAGUAGGCCAGUGAUAGAUUCAUCAAAGCCACUGCCUCCACAAGCAACUUUCCGAGGGCCUUACAUAAAUACUGGUUCAAGAGACAUUGGACCUGACUCUCAGACAUACCCAAAGAAAUGAUGUGUUUUGCUAAAUGAAUGUUGUUGGGGGUAAGUAAACUACCGGUCUAUUUUUGUGAACUUUACAAUCACAUUUGCUCAAAUCAUCCACUUCUCUUUCUCUCUUUUUCUGGGUAUAAUUGUUAUGGUGAACUUCUUUUUAGCAGUCUGUACCAACUACCGAGAAUUUUACUUGACCAGUUAAAAGUGUAUGAGCCAUAGGUUGAGUUGGUGAUUUUUACUUCUCCCUUGUUUAUAUAUUCG
rnacentral:misc_RNA from 1 species